UAGAAGGAAACUCACGCGCAGGAGGGAACAACCCUAGACAGAAUCCCCAAUCUUCUCCCUGCUGUGCUUGGCCUCACCCACGCCGCCGGCGCUCGCUUGACCGAUGCCGCCGUCCGCCGUCUCAACCAGCAUGAGAUGCUUAGCUGUUUCCCCAUCUCUCCUCUCCUUGCCUCUCCUUCUUUCCUCUCAAAUCGCUCAGCGCACUGGUUGUUUGCCGCUCGUCACCUGUAGGUUGCCGUGCCACCGUCGCGCGCUCGCCUCCCUGAUGCCGCGGUCCAUCCUCUCCACCAACGCUCGAUUCGCCAUCUCUCCUCACCUUGCCUCACCUCAUUUCCUCCAUCACUAUGUGGUGCGGCCGCAACCUGUAGGUCGAUGCCGCUGCCGCAAAUCCUCCCAUACCAUUGUUGUUCGACUGUUCCUCGGUCGGGUUAGACGAGUACGAUUCUUUCCUAUGGUUUAAGUCAAUGUGAUGUAUUCAUCUGUUCGUAUCUUUCUACCAAUAGCAGGCAGGUUCUAGACAAUACAAGAAGGGCAGAUUUGUUCAUCUCAUGUCUUCCUGUUAUUUCUCUUUAAUUUUAUUCCUUUUUCUAUAUGUUUGAUGCUUGUUAACCUAGGUAGCGGGUACUGGAAAAUCCAUCCCCUUCCAUAUGGAUUUUUGUUGUCCUGUUUUGAUCCAGGUUGGUUGAAGCCUCCGCGAUGGUUAGGAUUCCUGGUUGCAUGGCUUGGAGGAAACUUUUCUCCUGCGUAGCAAGGUCCAACAUGAAAGGAGCCCUGGCAGUUCUCCAAAAUUGAAAUGGUGUUCAAUGAAGCGACAAUCAUAAUGUCAUUCCACAAAUCAUACUAACAGAUCACGACAUUGUGAAGGGUAACUGAAGGAGUCUGACCAUUGAAGUGCAUGUGGGCGUUACACUUGAGAAUGUCUACAAGUUGUACAAUCUCAUUUUUUGGAAGCCUUCGGCGUGCUGUAGUGUUAUCCAAUUGGUGGUUGCCUGUUGGCAUUAGGCUGGCUGAAGCAAGAUGUGAAAUUGCUGCGAUCUUCCAUGUUAGGUGUUGUAUUGAAUCUGGAAUCUAAAAUAUGUUAUGUCAUCUAUUGUUCGUGUAAAUUUGAAUGCUGAAUUUGAGUUGUUGAUGGAUAUGUGACGAAUGUUCAAUUAUGUAUUGAAUGUGUAUUUACCUAUGCUGGGUACUACUUC